rnacentral:pre_miRNA from 1 species
CAUAUACUCCCUCCGUUCCAUAAUUCUUGUCGAAAUAUUACAUGUAUCUAGACGCUUUUUAGGAAUAGAUGCAUCCAUUUUUGGGCAAAUUUGAGACAAGAAUUAUGAAACGGAGGGAGUACAUG